GCGAUACGGGAACGCGAUCGAUCUCCGCGGUCGUCGUGGCCGCGGGACGCGGCGAACGAGCGCGGGAAGCGCGCGAGUAACGUCGGCAACGCUAUUCCGCGGGACGCUCCGCGAACGUCCCGGGGUUCCUGUCGCGAACAACGACGAUCAACGACGACGACGCGUCCGGCCUUCGUCGCGGCGUCGUCGAGGAGCGGGGCAGAAUCGUGGACUCGUGACACAUGCCACUACGAGAGUCAAAUCGAGACUCGUCGUCGGGUCGUCGAGCGACCGCUCGUUCCGUCGGCGGCAUGCUUGCGGGAAAUAAAAAAAAAUUUUUUUUUUUUCGGUAAACUAACUCUCUUUCUGUCAGUUCGUCCUCUUAUUUACAUCCAACAUCCAACUCGAGGUGCGGGAUUAGAGAUUCAACGGUCCAUCGGGAGACCCCUGGCGGACGACCGUACGCGACAGCGUCGCUCCUCGACGGCACACAAGAUGGCGAUUUCUCGAAUGUGCGAAUGUAUGGAUGUACGUGUAUGUGGCCGCACGUGUCACACUCGGUAACUCUCGAACGUACUCUGUGCACCUCGCACACUAUCCCGCCAAACCGAACUCUCACCGCUUGUUGGAAUCACGACGCGGAACGCCGAGACCUCGUUCGUCGCAGCUCGGAUCCGACUGUGACGACGACGAUAUCGAUGACGACGACGACGAUGACGAGACGCGCGUAGGAGCGGGACUGUUCCCGAUAUUCUUGACAUUGAACGAGACAUCCGCCUUCCCGCUCCGAUGACGUAACAAAAUGGGGAAAGCGGGGGAAAAGAGAAGAAAAAGAAAGAGGAGAUACGUACGGCGUGAUUAGAUAUACGCGAUGGUGCGUCUGACUCUGCGCGUCUCCCUCUUUUCGGUCGCCAUUUAAGCCUGCGUCCCGUGCGACGAUUGGCGACGUGCUCGUGGCGUCCGUCUGACGCGGCCCAAUCAUCUGCGGAAGGACCGAUAUUGAUGAGUCAUCGUGUUUGCGAUACGCUCCGACGAUACCUGACCGAUCCGGAAGUAACGUUGCGCUGUUACGCUUUGGAAAAACAGAGGUAGACUAGAAAAAUUAAACGUAAGUAUGUAUAUCUAUUCAGGUAUUGGAAUUUAUCGUUCGGUACAAAACACAAAAAGAACAUGAAAAUGUACCAAAAUCGUUUAGUGUUUUUUUUUUUUUUUUUUCGAGGACCUUUUCGGAGAACAAAAAUAAAAAAAGAAAAAA